CCUACGGGGGGCUGCAGUGGGGAAUAUUGCACAAUGGGGGAAACCCUGAUGCAGCAACGCCGCGUGAGUGAUGAAGGCCUUCGGGUUGUAAAGCUCUGUCUUUGGGGACGAUAAUGACGGUACCCAAGGAGGAAGCCACGGCUAACUACGUGCCAGCAGCCGCGGUAAUACGUAGGUGGCAAGCGUUGUCCGGAUUUACUGGGCGUAAAGGAUGCGUAGGCGGAUUUUUAAGUGGGAUGUGAAAUUCCGAGGCUCAACCUCGGCGCUGCAUUCCA
rnacentral:rRNA from 1 species